AAUGUUAAAUAAUUUAGUUUUUCCAAAUUGAUUUUCAUUUAGAUCUAAAUUGUAUACAUUAAUUUUGUUUUUUAAAAAGAACAAAAAAAGUGUGAGAAUUAUUUUCAUUGACGUCAAAAAUAUGUGACGUCAUUGAUUAGACGCGUCAUAGAAAUAGUUCUAUGAGGCGCGUAAUCUCACUUGGGCGAGAUUUGGUAAGUUGACAUGCGCAUUGCCUGUUUUGCCCAGUGUAUCCGGUGCCGGUCUGAAUUUUUUUUUAAUCAACAGUCUGUGGGUGACAAUUUCAGUUACGUUCCUGUGUUACCGGAAAAGAGCUUUGUUCAAGCACCGCGCUUCGCGCGAUGCUGUAGAGCUUCGCUCUAUACUAAGCAGUAAAAGAAACGUCAGAGAAGAUCCUAAAUAAUUUAAUGUCAAGGAGUGAUUUGCCUAAAAAAUGCCAACAUGUACUCAGUGUGGUGGAGAAGAUUUUAUAGAGGAUUGUGGCCACUUUUAUUGUCAAGUUUGUCAGGUCCAGUCUCAGGAUAUUCGAGUUGAAGAACUUGAGUUUGAAGACCAUCACAAUAAAACUCUGACUAAAACACCAACAACAAAAAAACAAUCUGUAGAGGAAAAACAACAAGAUAAAUUAAACCGUCUAGGUCGACCAUGGACUAUAUAUGAAGGUUAUCAGUGUGUUAUUAAGAAACAAGUACAGAGACUGAUAGAACUUGGUGCUGAUGAAAAAUUGGAUGAGAUAGUAUUUCGAUGUUGGACUGCCUACCUUAGUGCCCUUCAUGUUGCAUUUUGUGAAAAAGAAAAAUUGAUACCGCCUCGAUAUCAUACACAGGCUAGAGCACGGGAAGUUUUUUGUGGUCCAAUUGAAAACCCUGUUGUAAAAGUUGUUAGGAAGAAAAAGAACAAAGAAGCAUCUAGGAAAGAAAUAGAAAGAAUGGAGAUGAGCCAUGAACUGGGAAGUGAAAUAUUUUAUGAUGAAGAUAAUCCUGCUUUAGAAGAUGAAGAUAAUGUGUUUUCUGGUGGAUCUGUAAAUGCAGACCCAACAAUACUCCGUCCCAUUAACUCCCGAUUAAAGUAUGAUGUAGAUUGGAUCAAUAUGGAAGAAACAUUAAGUUUUUUGUAUCUAGGUCUUUUGUUUACAAAUAAUCAUGUGACACCAUCAGAACUUAUAAGUUUAGCUGAGAAAGAUCAGAUACCCUAUUCAUCAGCAACAAGUUGUUUAAAAUCUGAUAUGAAGAUAUCCCCAUAUGAUUCCAAAUUAUUCUAUUCAGCAAUUCUUCCGACCACUUAUGAUGUAAGAAAUACUACAAGUAAAUUAAUCAGAUUUCUCAGUAUCUAUGAGUUACCUCCCUUACCAAUAGAUAUUAUUGUAAGUAAAUUGUUGCUGAAACUUGAUCUACCAGGUAAGCUCUUAUUUUCUAUAACAUUAUAUAACAUAAAUGUCUUUUCACAGGUGAAGCCCCUCCUCCUCAAUAAAAUCUAUGUUAGUAACACCUUAUUAAUAACUCCAAAUAAAUCCCAGGCAUGUCCUCACAUAAAUCCCUAACUUUAUAGGUGGCCCUGUGGCACAAUGGUAGCGCAUCUGACUCCAGAUCAGAAGGUUGCGUGUUCAAAUCACGCCAGGGUCAUGGACAUUAUUUUUCUGGAAAGAUUAACAAUGAUUUUCUCAAUAAAUAGAUCAUUUUUUUUCUGGGUAAUAUCACACGGUGUCAAGUUUUCAUGUACCAGAAAUCUUUUGGGCUACUAUUAUUAUUACAGUAUAUAUUUCUCCGGGAAUAAAUUCUAUUUUCAAUGUCUGUUUUUCUCUAGGAAAAUUACAAUCAAUAGAUUAACUACAGCUAUAUACGUUUUAGUAGGUAAUUCCCAAGGAAUCUAUUUUUAGUGACAUCUUAUUCAUGUCUUUAUAUAAAUUCUACUAAUAUAUAGGAGGUUCUAUUGUGUAAUGGUAGCACAUCCGACCCCAGAUUGGAAGGUUAUGUGUUCAAGUCACAUUAGGGUCCAGAAUUUUUUAUUUUUUUAGAGAGAUUAAAAAUGGUUUUGUCAAUUGGUAGAGCAAAACUUAGAUAUCUACUCAAAUUAUUACUUACAAUAAGUAUGUUUUACUGAAUGUCAAAUUAACCUCAGUCAAUAUUUUCAAAAGGACAGUGGGCUGGUGCUGGGUGAUCAACAAAAUUCAAAAGAUCCAUAUUUUGCAACUAAAAAAAAAAACAACUGAAGAAUGUUUCAAGACGUUUACCCCUGUCAAGGGUUAUCUCUUAUCUUCAGAGCAGAACAUGUCAAAAUUUAGUAAGCAAUUGAUCUAGGCAAAAUUUAGUAAGCAAUCGAUCUAGGCAAACUAUACAGCUAAGAAACUGCAGUCACAUUGUGAAGGGGGGUUGGGCAUUUCCAUUCCCAUUUCAAAAGCUCACAUCUAUAAGAAAUUUUAAAAAAUCAGAUAAAAAAUGUGACCUCUAGAGGGAUCACAAGCUAAAAACAUGAUUUUUCGUACAAUCAGGGGCCAUAAUCCAUGAAGUUAUGGUCCGAUAUGUGCGAAUAUCAAAAGGAACCGAGAUCGUUUGGUUAUAAACAUACAUUGCAAGUUUCAUAAAAAUCGGAUAAAAAUUGUGACCUCUAGAGUGUCCACAAGUUAAAAACAUGAUUUUACGUACAAUCAGGGGCCAUAAGCCAUAAAGUUAUAGUCCGAUACAUGCCAAUAUCAAAAGGAACCAAGAUUUGUGGGAGAUAAACCUACAUUUCAAGUUUCCUCAAAAUUGGAUAAAAAUUGUGACCUCUAGACUGUCCACGAACAAAUUGUGGACGGACAGGUGCGACGACAGUACAUAUCCAGAAAGAAAAAGAAAAGAAAACAAUAACAAAAAAAAUUCAGAGGUUUUGAAUUCUGAGUUGGAUUUCUCAUAAUUAUUUGUUCUGAGCUUUCGGCACAGGAUGAAAACUCAGAUUUUUUUCUCCCAACUUUUCAGAGAUUUUGGUAAAACGUUGAGUCAGAACCUAAAAAUCAGAACUGUUGAAAGUUUUAACUUAAAACUCUGAGAUUUUCAAAACUUCUAAGUUUUCAGUAUGGCCAGCUGAACAGUCCCAGCAAAUCAUGUAUGUCCCCAAAUAAAUCCUUCAAUUUUAUAGGUGGCCCUGUGGCACAAUGGUAGGCUAGCACAUCUGACUCCAGAUCAGAAGGUUAUGUGUUCAAAUCACGUCAGGAUCCUGGAUGUUUUUUUUUCUGGAAAGAUUAAAAAUGAUUUUCUCAAUGAAUAGACCAAUUUAUUUAUGGGAUAAUAUCACACAGUGUUAUGUUUUUCAGUACCAGAGCAGGUCAUAAUCUUUUGGGCUACUAUUAUUAUUAUAGUAUAUAUUUCUCCGGAAAUGAAUUCUUAAUAUCUGUCUUUCUCUGGGAAAAUUACAAUGAAUAAACUAACCUACACCUUAUAUUUUAGUUGGUAAUUCCCAGAAAAUAUAUUUUUAGUAACAGCUUAUUCAUGGCUCCAAUUAAAUUCUACUACUAUAUAGGAGGCCCUAUGGUGUAAUGGUAGGGCGUCUGACUCCAGAUCAGAAGGUUAUGUGUUCAAGUCACAUUAGGGUCAAGACAAUUUUUUCUAGGGAGAUAGAAAUUUUUUUUGUUAAUUGGUAGAGCAAAACCUAGAUAUCUUCUCAAACUAUUACUUACAAUAAGUAUGUUUUACUGAAUGUCACAUUAACCUAAGUUAAUAUUUUUAAAAGGACUUUUGAUUUAAAAAUGUAUUUAUUCAGAAUUCUUAUAUACAGUCAUAGAGGGAAAAAUAUGAAUAGAUUGGAUACAGUAACAGGCAACUUAAUGCUUAUGUAAAACUGUUUCCAGAAUAAGGUGACAUAAAUAUAAUUUUAAUGAUCUGCUGGUAAUGUAAUACAAUAAGAAUGAUUAUAAAUAUCAGAGUUUUGGCUGUGGGUGAUCAAUAAAAUUCAAAAGGGCCAGGGACCAAGUUAUUUUUCAAAGAAAUUCACAUGGCACAUGAUAGGAUUCAUCAACCAACAUUAAACAGGUCUGUCAAUAAUAGUAAUUAUUUUAUUAAUUCAAAUAAUAUCCUGAUAUGGAUAUUUUGCAAUUUAAAAAAAAUCCUGAAAAAGGUUUUAAAGAGAUAUAAUACCCUUGCCAAGAGUUGUCACUCUCUUCAGAGCAGUAGAUAUCAAGAUUUAGAAAGCAAUCUAUACAGCUAAGAACGCUGCAGUCAGUUUGUGAUAGGAGGUCAGAUAUUUCAAUUCCCAAUUCAAAGAGUUAAAAGAGCAAUAAAUAAAGAAAGCAUCAAUGUGUAGCUGUCAAUUUCAAUUGGGGUCCCUCCUUUGUGACUAGCUGAACAAUUGAAGCAAAUCAAACAAUUACAAAUACUGAACUAUAAAUUGUUUACAAGGCAAUUCCUAAAUUUGAUAGUGAUUUUAUACUCAUAUUUUCAUGUGGACGUAUAAUGCAGUCGCUUCUUUAAGCCUGUGUGCCUGUCUAUCCAUGUGUUCGUUCACAUUUUGUUUGUGGACCCUCUACGGGUCAAGAUAGCAAUCCGAUUUUGAGUACACGUGAAAAAUAGGUUUAUCCCCCAAAGAUCUUGGUUCCUGUCAAUAUUGGCAUUUAUCGGACCGUAACUUCAUGGCUUAUGGCCACUGAUUGUACGCAUAAUUGUGUUUUUAGCUUGUGAACAAUCUAGAGGUCACAAUUUUUAUACGUCCACAUUUUCAUGUGGAAGUAUUAUGCCGUCGCCCCUGUCUGUCCGUCCAUCAACAAUUUAUUUGUGGACACUCUACAGGUCAAAAUUUUUAUCCGAUUUAAACAAAACCUAAAAUAUAGGUUUAUCUCCCCAAGAUCUCGGUUCCUUUCGAUGUUGGCAUGUAUCGGACCGUAACUUCAUGUAUCGCGUUUUUAGCUUGUGGACCCUAUAGAGGUAACAAUCUUCAUCUGAUUUUGUUGAAACUUGAAAUGUAAGUUUAUAACCCAAAGAUCUCGGAUCCUUUCGAUAUUCGCACAUAUUGGACCGUAACUUCCUGAAUAAUGGCCCCUGAUUGUACGAAAAAUCACAUUUUUAGCUUGUGGACCCAAUAGAGUUCAUAAUUUUUAUCCGAUUUAAAAAAAUAUAUCACUGUUACAUCCUAAAAAUGGUUGAGUUCGAAUUUCGUAAAAAUCGGACCAAAGCUGACAGACAAAAUGGCUGCCCCUCAUACUCAAAUAGUGUAAAAAUAUGGAAUAUGAAGGUUGUAGAUCCUCUAGAGGUCACAAUUUUCUUCUGAUUUUGAUGAAACUUGAAAUGUAAGUUUAUAACCCAGUGGUCCUUGUAGAGGUCACAAAUUUUAUCCGAUUUAAAAAAAAAACAUGUGAAUAUAUCACCAUUACACACUAAGAUCUUGGUUCCUUUUGAUAAUCGCGCAUAUCCGAACGUAACUUCCUGGAUUAUGACUCCGGAUUGUUCGAAAAAUCGCAUUUUUGGCUUGCACAAUUUUUUUUACCGAUUUUAAAAAACGUUUAAAUAUAUCACCAUUCCAUCAUUAUGAAAUUUGAAUUCAAAUUUCGGGAAAAUUGAAAUGAAACUGCCAGACAAAAUGGCCGCUCUUUGUACACAAAUUGUGUAAAAGUAUGCAAUAUGAAGGUUGUGGACCCUCUACAGGUCACAAUUUGUAUAAGAUUUUGAUGAAACUUAAAACAUAUCUUUAUAUCCCAAAGAUCUCAGUCCCUUUUGAUAUUUGCACAUUUCAGACCAUAACUUUCUGGAUUUUUGCCCCUGAUUGUACAAAAAAUCCUGUUUGUUUUUAGUUCUCUAUCCAUCUCUUGCAAAAUGUGGGCGUAUCCUGCCUGGCAGCCGCUGGUUAUCUGAUUUUGCUGAAGCUUAAAAUAUAUGUUUAACAGUCCCAAGAUUUCGGUUCCUGUCGAUAUUCACCCAUAUCGGACUGUAAUAUCCUGGACUAUAAGCUCCCGAUUGUUCGAAAAAUCACUUUUUUGGGUUAUUCUCUGUCCAUCUCUUGCAUUUGCUUGUUUUUUGUUCAAGAACAACAGGUUACUUAAAGAUACAUUAUGGGAGAUAAGAUAACGAGAUGGCAGUUCUCGCUAUAGUUAAAAACUAGAUAGUGUAAAGGUAAUUUGCUGAAAAUUUCAGUCAAAUUGAUCCACUAUGAGCCGAGAAAGAAGCGGGUGAAAUUUUGGCAUAGUCUCGGUCAUCAUUACUAAAAUCAUUAUUAUAAACAGCUUAGUCUCGAUUAUCCACUUUUAUUGAUUUAAUUGUCAACGGCCGUUAGCGGCAUAUAGGAAUCUAAUCCAGCCAACAUCGAAGGCUAGCCUUGACAUCGAGAGUUUAUUAUGGUCUGGAUAAGUUAAUUAAUGUCUAAUUGAUAAUUUAGAUAACAUUUCAGGCCUAAAGAAAGACUUGUAAUAAGCAGAUUUUGCUCUUGCAUAAUGCAUAUUUAAUGAAAAGAGCCAAUCUUUAUAUGUGUGAUCAGUUAAAGAUAAGUUUCUCAGAAUGUAGACUGUAUCCAAUUAGAAAAUAUUCUAUCUAUAUAUUUCAGCUGAGUUUGGUUGUUUGGUAAGGAAUGUGUUGAAACUUCGUGAUUUAAAUAUGGAGAUAGAUGUCAAUCAUUCUAUAAAGAAUGUAGAACUUGUAUCUGUAUGUUAUAUUAUUAUGACAUUAAAAUUAUAUUUUGGUGUUAAUGAUUCCACAGAACAUGUUUUAACAGAUUGUGGCAGAAAACUAUCUAGAAUAUUUCUAAAUCAUAAUUUAUUUAUAUGGGAAGAUUGGCAGUCACACAUAUCUAGUAAAUUUAAAAUCAAACAACAAAUACGUAAUCAUAAUACACGUGGUACAGACAAGAUGACAGAUGUGGAAGAAUUUGUCAAAUUAUAUAAUGCUACAACUAAAAAUCAAAAUGAAAAAAGUCUAAAGAAAAAAGCAAAAAAUAAACAGUUUGAAGCUGUAGUUGAUAAUAUUACUGAAUUUGCUAAUCGAAUAAGGAAGCCACGACCAGUGAACAACAUUUUAUUGGAGACGCAGAAUCCAUUAGAUUUGUUAAAUGGUUCAAUAGAUGGUGAUUUUAAACCAGAUACAGAGGAAAGAAUAGAUGGUGAAAGAUUUAGAAGAAGCAGUAUAAAAUAUCUCAUGUCAGCGGAGGACUUAAUAAAACAGAAUCAAAGAAGAGGUUUGACAAGUUUUACAGUAGAAAGUUCUUACUGUGGAAGUCCUGAGCGGGAGAAUGAUUUCUCUGAUUUAGAAUCUGGUAAUGAAUUCCCUCCACAGCAGGUAAGGAAGAAACGGAAGAAGAGCAAAACACAACAAGCUGUGGAAAAUAUCUUAUCCCAAGUGCCCCCUGGUGUUACAUCAAUUACAGAUGCAGAACGUGAGGAGGUGGAAAGCAUUAUAGAAACAAUUCAACCUCAUAGCGGACAAUACAUAAUCUAUGAACGCCCCAAAAAGGUGUUCAGAGAUCUCUCUGUUCAAGCUAGUUAUGAAUUCCAACGACAUAUAUCGUAUGAAUGGUUACUCAGUAUGUUUUGUAAAAUGGUGCGAUGUCGUAUUGAUGAUCUAGAAGUUAUGUUGACUAGUUUUGAAAGUAUUCUGUUUGGAAGAAAAAAAGACUUUAAGUUGUGCCCUUUUGAAAGUAUGUAUUUUAAAAAAUAAAAAGAAACAGAUGUAUUUUAAAAAAUAAAAAGAGACGGAUGUUAAUUCUUAACCUCCAUGUAGCUUAUUUUAAA